rnacentral:rRNA from 1 species
CUGAACCAGCCAAGUAGCGUGAAGGAUGACUGCCCUAUGGGUUGUAAACUUCUUUUAUAAAGGAAUGAAGUCGGGUAUGGAUACCCGUUUGCAUGUACUUUAUGAAUAAGGAUCGGCUAACUCCGUGCCAGCAGCCGCGGUAAUACGGAGGAUCCGAGCGUUAUCCGGAUUUAUUGGGUUUAAAGGGAGCGUAGAUGGAUGUUUAAGUCAGUUGUGAAAGUUUGCGG